UACGGAGGAUGCAAGCGUUAUCCGGAUUUAUUGGGCGUAAAGCGUCCGUAGGCGGUUUGUUGCGUCGGCUGUGAAAUCCCGAGGCUCAACCUCGGGUCUGCAGUCGAUACGAGCAAACUAGAGUGUUGCAGGGGAGACUGGAAUUCCUGGUGUAGCGGUGAAAUGCGCAGAUAUCAGGAGGAACACCGGUGGCGAAGGCGGGUCUCUGGGCAACAACUGACGCUGAGGCGCGACAGCGUGGGGAGCAAACAGG
rnacentral:rRNA from 1 species